AUGUUGCCAAUGGAGUUAAAUGGUCCUCCAUUUGGUCAACCAACAACUUCAACACCUAAUGAGUCGUUAGAGCAAUCUCAUGUGCAAGUGCGCGUAGAAGAUGGUUUUGAUGAUAUAGAGAAGCUCACAUUACUUGGUCUUGAGUUCACUUGGAGUACCGGGGAUGAUCUUAUUAGGAAGGUUAUACUAGAGGAAAUGAAGAAGACCAAGAGUGGAAAAGAGCUAGUGGAAGAAGUAAGGAAGAUUGAGAAGAACAUCAACGCUGGCAGUACUAUAUCAUCACAGCUUGAGUUGAGUGUCGCUGAGAUAUCCAUGGAUACAUGUGAGGUUCUAAUACCUUCACAUUCAGUUGAGCAAGAUAGUGAGAGCCCGGAUGAAGAGAUACCUCAGAUUGAAGAAGAUGAACUAGAAAACGAGGAACAAGAUGACCAAGAGAUCGACUACCCAAGCGAUCAAGUUGAAGACGCAAUCUCUAUCUCCCCCGAAAGAGGAAAAGAAGCUGCUAUAGAUGAACUUGGAGAACCAAAAAUUCAUUUGCCCAUCGUCAUACAAGAGCGUGAUGUUGCAGGUUUUUGCUUGUGCACAAAUCAAUACAUGCUGACCAGGUUCGAGGUGACAUUCCUUGGGACCCCGGUGGAUUCACGGCAUGGUGAUGAGGAGAAGCAAGGAGCACACAUGAAGAGAGAAGCUGGAGAAGGCAUGAGGAUAGGGAAUCAAAAGGAGAGGAGUCACAAUGCAAGAGGAUGUGAGAUGAUCGAGCGAGUGCUACACCCAAGCCCGAUGAGUUGUUUCAUGACCCAUUUCGAGUAUAUCAUCUAUUGA
rnacentral:rRNA from 1 species